AGAGUUUGAUCCUGGCUCAGGAUAAACGCUGGCGGCGCACAUAAGACAUGCAAGUCGAACGAACUUAACCAUUAGUUUACUAUUGGAGCGGUUAGUGGCGGACUGGUGAGUAACACGUAAGCAACCUGCCUAUCAGAGGGGAACAACAGUUAGAAAUGACUGCUAAUACCGCAUAUGCCUUGAGUAUCACAUGGUACAAAAGGGAAAGGAGCAAUCCGCUGAUAGAUGGGCUUGCGUCUGAUUAGAUAGUUGGUGAGGUAACGGCCCACCAAGUCGACGAUCAGUAGCCGGACUGAGAGGUUGAACGGCCACAUUGGGACUGAGAUACGGCCCAGACUCCUACGGGAGGCAGCAGUGGGGAAUAUUGCACAAUGGGGGAAACCCUGAUGCAGCAACGCCGCGUGAAGGAUGACGGUUUUCGGAUUGUAAACUUCUUUUCUUAGUGACGAAGACAGUGACGGUAGCUAAGGAAUAAGCAUCGGCUAACUACGUGCCAGCAGCCGCGGUAAUACGUAGGAUGCAAGCGUUAUCCGGAUUUACUGGGUGUAAAGGGAGCGCAGGCGGGACUGCAAGUUGGAUGUGAAAUACCGUGGCUUAACCACGGAACUGCAUCCAAAACUGUAGUUCUUGAGUGAAGUAGAGGCAAGCGGAAUUCCGAGUGUAGCGGUGAAAUGCGUAGAUAUUCGGAGGAACACCAGUGGCGAAGGCGGCUUGCUGGGCUUUAACUGACGCUGAGGCUCGAAAGUGUGGGGAGCAAACAGGAUUAGAUACCCUGGUAGUCCACACUGUAAACGAUGAUAGCUAGGUGUGGGGGGUCUGACCCCUUCCGUGCCGGAGUUAACGCAAUAAGCUAUCCACCUGGGGAGUACGACCGCAAGGUUGAAACUCAAAGGAAUUGACGGGGGCC
rnacentral:rRNA from 1 species